GGGGAAUAUUGCACAAUGGGGGAAACCCUGAUGCAGCCAUGCCGCGUGUGUGAAGAAGGCCUUCGGGUUGUAAAGCACUUUCAGUUGUGAGGAAAGGUUGGUAGUUAAUACCUGCCAGCUGUGACGUUAACAACAGAAGAAGCACCGGCUAACUCCGUGCCAGCAGCCGCGGUAAUACGGAGGGUGCGAGCGUUAAUCGGAAUUACUGGGCGUAAAGCGCACGCAGGCGGCUUGUUAAGCUAGAGGUGAAAGCCCCGCGCUCAACGUGGGAACUGCCUUUAGAACUGGCAGGCUAGAGUCUUGGAGAGGGGAGUGGAAUUCCAGGUGUAGCGGUGAAAUGCGUAGAUAUCUGGAGGAACAUCAGUGGCGAAGGCGGCUCCCUGGCCAAAGACUGACGCUCAUGUGCGAAAGUGUGGGUAGCGAAC
rnacentral:rRNA from 1 species